rnacentral:rRNA from 1 species
AUUGAACGCUGGCGGCAUGCCUUACACAUGCAAGUCGAACGGCAGCACGGGAGCAAUCCUGGUGGCGAGUGGCGAACGGGUGAGUAAUAUAUCGGAACGUGCCCAGUCGUGGGGGAUAACGCAGCGAAAGCUGUGCUAAUACCGCAUACGAUCUACGGAUGAAAGCGGGGGAUCGCAAGACCUCGCGCGAUUGGAGCGGCCGAUAUCAGAUUAGCUAGUUGGGGGGGUAAAGGCUCACCAAGGCGACGAUCUGUAGCUGGUCUGAGAGGACGACCAGCCACACUGGAACUGAGACACGGUCCAGACUCCUACGGGAGGCAGCAGUGGGGAAUUUUGGACAAUGGGCGAAAGCCUGAUCCAGCAAUGCCGCGUGCAGGAUGAAGGCCUUCGGGUUGUAAACUGCUUUUGUACGGAACGAAACGGUGAGCUCUAAUACAGUUUGCUAAUGACGGUACCGUAAGAAUAAGCACCGGCUAACUACGUGCCAGCCGCCGCGGUAA